GCAUUGGUGGUUGAAUGGUAGAAUUCUUGGCUCCCAUGCAAGAGACCCUGGUUUGAUUCCCAGCCAACACA
rnacentral:tRNA from 1 species